rnacentral:lncRNA from 1 species
GCAUGAAUUGAGUGGCCAAGUAGCUAUGAAAUAAUUUCGUAGCUAAUUUAUAGUUAACCUUAAAACAUCUGAAGCCAAUCUACACCAAUUACACUAUAUUUGUAACCGAUUUUUCAUCUUCUAACAUAUCACAAUAUCACACACCCUUUAUAAUAUAUAUGUAAUAUGUUACACCUUAUAGUCACACAUUUUAAUAAGUGAACAGAGGAUAAAGUGUUACAUAGAAAACUCUAUCAUAAGAGUUAUUUUAAAUGAAUGAUCAAAACAACAAAAUUAAUAAAAUAAAAAGUGAAAAGGAGAAAAGGAGAAAUAGUACAAACUU